rnacentral:rRNA from 1 species
UACGUAGGUGGCUAGCGUUAUCCGGAAUUAUUGGGCGUAAAGAGUGUGUAGGCGGUGUUUUAAGUCAGAUGUAAAAACUAUGGGCUCAACCCAUUAGCUCGCAUCUGAAACUGGAAUACUUGAGGCCGGAAGAGGUAAGCGGAAUUUGCGGUGUAGCGGUAAUAUGCGUAGAUAUCGUGAAGAACACCAAUGGCGAAGGCAGCUUACUGGGCCGGUCCUGACGCUGAGACACGAAAGCGUGGGGA